GGGGAUUUAGCUCAGUGGCACAGCACCUGUCUGGCAAGCAAGGGUCCUGAGUUUAAUCCCCA
rnacentral:tRNA from 1 species